CUGGUUUUAACCUUGAGGGAUGUGGAUGCUUGAGUGGCACAUUAUAUCCAAUAAUUAGAAUAAAAAUAAGCAACCUCGGUGCGUAAACACGUGAAUUCAGUGCGUAAAAUCACGGAUUCAGUGCGUAAAAUGUGCCAAAAUAUGGGUCUAAUAAUAAAUAUAGUUUGCGUAGUGGCAAAAGUGAAACAGCAAAUUGCAAUGUGCGUUAUGGAGAAGCCAGAGCCGGUGAGUGGCAGCCCGGCAGUUCCAUCCCAUAUUAGCGAGAGCAUCCAUUGAGCGGUGAUGAGGCGGGCUGAGUGGCCCCAGAGCUGGCGUUUAUAAAGCAAACAGUUGUGUGAUUGUUAGCAGAGCCUGGGAAAAUGUCCCCUCGGCCGGGAGGUGGAGGGACUUGACGCCAGAGCCUCUUGUUAAGAAGACUUGUGUGCUCCCAGACAGCAUUGUGAUGCUAAUGAGCACCAGCACGUUGUUGAACUUGAUGUUGACUUUUUUUCUUUCUUUCUUUGGGCGAUUUUUUUUCGUACGCCCUUUCUCGCUCUCCCUCUUUCUCUUUUUUUUCCUUGGUCACUUGUUUGUGGGAAAAUCUUCUCUCGGGCAACAGUGUGAAAUUAAUUAAUCAGGGCCAUUGCAGCUGACUACAAUAGGGAGCUUUACCAAAUUCUUGCAAACAUAGAAAGUAAUUUUAAUUCGUUUUUCUUAAAAUCUAAAGUUUGUUUUUGCAAAAACGGGUUCAUAAGAGGGAGACUACACAGUUCGGAAUUUACAGGGUUUAGAUUUUAAGAAAUGAAAGAUUUUUUCUCCUCCAAAGAAUUAGCUGUGUGAAUUUUUUGCAAAUUUUAAACUAUCUAAUUUAUUGCGUUGUAUAUAUAAUAACUUUUAAAUACAGAAAUGUGAAUGUAAGGCUUUAAUUUUUAUUGUUAAGCAAAAAAAUCACAACUAGAGACCAUUUUAAAAAGAAGAGACAAAUGUAGCUUUUUCUUUCUUUCUUUCUUUCUUUCUUUCUUUCUUUCUUUCUUUCUUUCUUUCUUUCUUUCUUUCUUUCCUUCUUUCUUUCACCGUGCAACAGGUGUAGGCCUAAUGUAAAUUGUACUGCUAUCACUGAACUAUAGUGUCUUAUCUCCUUUAUUAAUUUCAACUUAAAACACACAAUUUCUCUUAUUAUAUAAAAUCAAACAUAAAACACUGGCGCUUUAUUCAUUCUAAUACGAUAAGCUAAUUUUCCAGAAUUACGUAAAAAUAAAUAAACUUUUGAGCACACAGUUUCGCUAAAUAUAAUAUCUAGUCUUGAUAUAAUAAAUAUUAUAUUCUUAAAUAAAUUUCGGGUGAAAUUUUUUGACAUUAAAGUUUAUGUUAGAGUUAAUUCGUUGCUAUUUUUCUGCUCCAUAUGCAGGUCAGAGCAAAAAGAAAAAUAAAUAUCACAGCUGCCUUUGCUUCUUGGAGUCUAUUGCAGAUUACUAUAAAUAUUAACACUAUUACUAGUACUGUGUAAUUUAUUUAAUUUUCUUGUGAAAGUGAAAGCUGUCAAGUUGUGAAACUCCAUUAGAAUAUGAAAAUUCUCCCUCUACGUGUAUUUGUUCGCUCGUUUUUUAUUUCCAAACAUAUUUCGUUAAAUUUGAAAACAACUCAGUGGGUGUGGAUUUGCGUGAACAAGCACAAAUUAUUAUACAGCGUUUUACUUUUUUUAAUUUAAAAAAACGUCGCAGGGAAUAAAGUCCCUUCGUUUCAGCACCAAGGACAGAGACUUUGCUUUCUUUCCCCGCUUUUUUAGUGCUGAAGUUGAAUCACUUCAGUUUUAAUCACUUCACAUUUAAACUCUUUCUUAUUAAUUUCAAAGCAUAUUUUUAUUGUAUGCUUGUGCAACUUUUACGUUUUACCAAGACAAAAAGAAAACAGAAAGAACGAAUCCUCUAAUACAUAUUUUUUUUCCCUUGUUGGUGUCAAUUAACGCACAAACCGUGAAUCCGGUGUGAGAUCAGGAAACAGCAUAGACUAAACAAUAUGACAGGAAAUUGGUGGCCAACGUUUGAUUAUACAAUUAUUUAUUUAAAAUUUAUAGCAUCGAGUUGAAGGAGGAAGAAGAGCAUACAUAGGUGCUAUAGAAUAGAAUAGAAUAGAAUAGAAUAGAAUAGAAUAGAAUAGAAUAGAAUAGAAUAGAGCUGGUUGCAUGUGAACACCUUUUACUGUACUUUGUGUGUGACAGGACGUGAUGCAGUUUAGGGGGCGGGUCCUCAGAGUGAACGUGAGGCUGAUGAAAGGCAGAGCUGAGAGUCAAUCAGUGUUAAUGUACAAUAAGAGCAAUUUCCAACAGAGACAGAGCAAAAAAACUAACAAAACAUAUAAAUAAAAUUAAAAUGACACACACUGUCUCACACACACUUACAGUUAGCAUACAAUGAGUUAAAGCGAGAUAACCAAAGUCCUUCUAAUCUAUUUAAUUUACAUUUUUACAAAUAGAUGAUAUUUUUUAAUAUAUAUGCUUUGGCAAGUCAGUGUUUUUUAUGUAAGUAAUUAAUAAAAACAAUUCUUUACUCUAGCUGAGGCAUUUAAUGGAAGUUUAGAUAAUAUGACAAUAUGGGAAAUUUAAACACAUCUUCAAAAUAAUAUUAUGUCCAACGUUGUUUUCACUUCUUUGAUAUGUUUUUUAUUAUUUUAUUAUUAUAACUAUUAUUACAAAAUACAUAUACUUGGCUGAAGAAACCCUACAGAUAAUUUUCUCGAAAUAUAUUUUUUAAAAACUUUCUGAAAUCUUCAGAAUUUUCUUUAUAGCAAAGAGUGAAGCAAACACACCUGCAGAACACUGGCAGAACUCAUUAAAAUUCAAAUAAAAAGUACAAAUUUUUAGGACGCACACACACUGGAAAUAUAUAAACAGGGAGUCUCCUCAUUUGGAAUGUGAUUUUGAAUAAAAUGUAAGCACACUGUAAAUAAAUGACGCUCCGUGUUUAACGUGUGCACACUAUAGGUUUCCACUGAGAAAACAUGAAAGGCUGCGGGUUAAUGUAUUCCACAUUAUGUUUAAUGUACAGUGCUGCUGUGUAGUCUGCAUUUUAUGAAUUAAACUUUCCCCUAUUUAAAACCUAACUAUAGAGUUCUGAAGGGCUCCUUAUAGCCAAUACAGAAAAUAACGAUAAAAAUGCCAAAUAAUAGAACAGAGUUAGGCAGUGAAAACUAGUAUAAUACUGAUAAGAAUUUAAAAAGUAGUGUACAGUAUGCCUUAGUAAUCCUGCGACCUGUAACCUGUCAACUUGUUCUUCUUCUUUGUGUUUCUGUCAUCGGGACAAACUUUGUAUCCUUAUUUACGCAGACAGGGUGUGGCUGAAAGAUGGAUGGUUCAUUGUCAACAAAUCCUUAAACAUGGCCAGUUUUGUGAUGUAUUGCUCAAGGUCUAAGCAGUCAGGUGAUGGUGGAGGAGUUACACACUGUUGCACUCUGCGCCUCCAUUUGGGACAAAGGCUGCUCUGGCUGCUUUUUUUAUUUGAAUACCAUGUUUGUGCACUGAUGGAAGUGAUUAUUCCUCACUUUUUACUGGUGAAUCUCCAAUUCGGUGAAUUCUUGGAUCCAACAACCAUUUCCAUGUGAUGAUGGAUACGCUUUAUAGUGGCUAUUUGACGAGCUUUAGACGUUGUGGAUUCUGGUCCUGUUCUGUUCCUUCCUUUACUCUCCACCUUCAUAUCUGUGAUGCUCGCCCAUGUCUGUGCCAAUCAACAUGUCUAAUUCUGUGCGUAUCCCCUGGCAGUCUGACCCCGAGGCCCCCCGAGCGGCCCUCCGCCUCCUGCGCCCCACAUCUGACACUCCGAUAGCCGCUACACUUUCUCCCCACUCUCAUUUUCCUCUUCCUCUGGCUUUGUUGCAGUAUUAUAUUUUUUUAUGACACCCUGCAAUGGACGUUUUAUUCCGUCGUGUAUUCCUCCAAGAUACACAUUCGCGCUUAUACGGAUGGUGGUGCUGUGCGUAAAAUGGGCUUUUGUCUUCGCGCUGUGCCGGUAUCCCACAUGCUCGCAGCAGCACGACUGGAGGGAGCCGGAGAGAGAAGCUCCAACCCCGGACUGAGACUAAAAGAAUAUGCCGGUUGUUGGAUUUUCAUAUUUUUUGUCUCUUUUUAAAAAUGAAAAAACAAAACAAAAAAAACACACAAGGAAGUACGACAUAAUUGAUUAUGGAAAUUGCCCUUUCAAAUGGACUGAAUCUGAAUCUGUGGAGAGUAAAUGCAGUCACAGAGAAACACCCCAUCUGCAGGCCUGUGUCUGGACACACAGGACAGCAGGUCAGAGGAGACACUCGCCGCCUGGUGCCCCGAGGAGCAAAGGUGACCGACCGGGUCAGAAAGAGACUUCAUCCCUCUGGAGUCGCAGCAGGAAGAGGAGGAGGAGGAGGAGGCAGUGGAGGAGGAAAAAGAGAAGCAGAGUGGGUGGAAGAAUGGAAGGAGAGAAGGAUAGAAGCAGUUCGAGGAGGUGGUUCGAAGCGGGUGAACCCAGAGCAGGUGAACGCAGCUGUGGAUCGCCAUGGGCUCUCUGGCUGCCUUCCUCUUGUGGCCCCGGUGCUGCAUACAGGGGUCCCGGGGAGCCAGCAGGGGCCAGCCAAAGCUGCGGCAGAGUGGGCAGGCUAGGCCAGCCAAGCCAGGAGAGAGGCAGGUGAGGCGGGUGAGCCAAGCUCUCAUUCCCGCCGGCUAGGAGCCUCCUCGGCAGAGUGGAGCAGCGCGGAGCAGCAGAAAUCAAUACAGAGGAGAGAGGCUAGCAGAGGUUGCCCAGCACCGCCUGCAGGCCUCGGAGCCCAGGGACCAACCACCACUGCUCCCAGCUCCUCUCUCCAUCUCUCUUUCUAUCUUUCUCCAGCAGUCCCAGCACCAGCCAGGGCCAGGGCCCUAACCUUGCAAGCACCCCACACGCAGUGUGUGUGUCAGUACAUGCACAUGUGCAUGUGAAACAGAGAAAAAGGGAGAGGGAAGAGACAGAGAAACAGUCUUUGUGUGUGGUUCAGCCGGAGGGUUUUUUCUCGCGUCCAACACCACUUGAUAAAACUUUGUCAGAGAGACAUGGAGACAGCAAGGGAGGGAGCGAAACGGUAUCAGAAUGAGACAGGACGUCGGAGGUCUCUUUUCUUCCAGCUCCCUCCCUCCUAUUACUCAUUCCACCUUAACAGCUUGAAUAAGGAUCCAUCUGAGAUGUAGCCAACACGGAACGUUUCUGCUCAGUCCCACUUCCAAGCACGUAGCGCACAAUAUUCCGAAGAUCUCAUGAGCCAGGAUGAAAGGACAAUUUGAACUUUUUCUCUCAUCCACUAUAUCAGACACAACCUGUCUUUUCGCCUUAGAUUUUCUUGCCCUCACUACAGCAGCUCCCAUCAGAGGAUAUGGCAGUGCAGUAUUGAUCUAUAAGGUGGAAGGCAGGAAGGCGGGCCUGGGCUUUCAUACCUCUCUCACUAUGUGUGGGGAAAUAGCACCUGAAGUCCACUUACUGCUGUGCAGCAGGGAUCCCAUGGCAGCGCAAGUGAAUGGCUGCUAAUUGAAUGAGAGAUAAAAAGACAGUAGUUUCACCUGUGCAGUGCUCCCUCCUCCUGUCUGAUUGCUACUUAGACUUUUCUCUCCACCACGUAUACAAAAGUCCUGCUCCACACAGAGAGGUUUUAGCAAAAUUGCUAAAGAAAACUGGCAAAAUAAUCAGGAAUGAAACUACCUGGUUUCACAUCAGUGUAGACACGAACUACAUCAGAAAAAAAGCAGAGGGAAGAAACAAGUAUAUGUUUAAUGCAGUGGUAGAAACCUCCGAGUGAAACUUAAGUUCUGAGGCCUUGUCACAAAACAUAUUGUACAUAUCUGAGAUCUGGAAUGGCACCAGAGGACAGAUGGGCAGUUUCCAGAGCAAGAAAACUUACAGAGAUCACAACGGGAUUCACACGUCUUGAUGCAGUCAGAAAUGCCACCAUGAAGAUGAAAAACGGCGAUCAAGCUUCCAUUAUUAGGCCCGAAUAACAAAGCACCACACGCUGUCUGUAGCCAGUUUCUUUGAACGUGUUUAGCCUUGGCUACAUAUGGAAAAUGCCACCUCUGCACCUGCAAGAACAGCCAGUUAGACACACAUCAUUAGAUUCUGAUUGUCGGCGGUCUUUGUGGACGCGAACAGGUAAGUCAGAGCCGCUUCUAAAAGGUAAGUGUAGAGGUUGAAUCAAUUUAAGAGCUGUCUAAAGUGUAAAAUGGAGCUGCCGAAUAAUAUUUUCCAAAAUUAGUUUCAUUAGAUAUGAAUUACUAUAUUUGAGACCAAUUUUAGGUCAGAGAUUGGAUGAGACCCCAAGGGGUCCCUCUUUUCACUUAGUAAUUUACAUUCAAGUAUUUGACUGUAAAAUCAUUCAAGAGUUUGUAGCGGUUGAAUUACUUUCCACUUUUUCUGUACACAUGAAUUUAUGCAAUCUUUCUGACAGUGUAAUCAACUAAUUUAUCAUGAAAGAGUGAAUGAGAUUGCAAAAUUAUGAAUGUGUUGUUUUGAUAUGAUAUAUAUUCUCAAUAAAGUUGAUCCAUUUGUGAAAUGAAAA